AAAAUCCGUUGACUUUAUAAU
rnacentral:tRNA from 4 species